AAAGGUGUCUAACAUCAUGAGACCAAUAUGUCCAAUAUAUUUAUGCUCAGCAAUAAGAAGUUUAAAAUAGAUGGUUAAUUCCAGAACACUAAUAAUGAAUGACCAAAUUAGUAUAAAAACUAAAUCAUAACAAGAUUAACUUUAUCUUAAUGGUUAAAUAUUUCAUUAUAUAAAAAGAAAAAUAACAAUAUAAGCAA